AUGAUCACAAAGAUAUUAUCAUGUGAUAUGAUGAUCGGAUUGACUAAUUUUAUAUUCUACAAAAAGUUAUCAAGUGGUCCAAGUGUAAUAGUUUUUCAUCGAGUGCCACUUGAUGUUAGUCCUGAUUCAGUAAUGGGCCUAGUUCUGGACCUUUUCGACCUGUUGUUAGAGGUUUCACACACACAACCAAUGUACUGCUUAUGCGAUAUAGUCAUAGUGGAUGUCAGGUUUUCCAUUCCACCAUGA